rnacentral:ncRNA from 1 species
UUAAAGAUUGUGAUAAGGAAUAGUAUAUAAUGAUGAGCUUUUAAGAGAGCUAGAGUUUGGUGGAAUCUAGCAGGCGAACUUUAUAGAAGCAGCCUUUGAAUUUUAUAGCUGAAAAAUAAAAAUUAUUUAUAUUAUAAUUUUUAACUAGGUUAUAACGUGACCCUCACGUUAUAGAGGAUGAGUAUAUUAUAUGUACUCUAGCUGAGUGAACAAUAUUUAUAUUGUUUAUUAGGGUGGUACCGCGAAGUAGUUCUUUCGUCCCUUGU